rnacentral:rRNA from 1 species
AAUGAACGCUGGCGGCGCGCCUAAUACAUGCAAGUCGAGCGAGAAGACGUAGCAAUACGUUUGUAAAGCGGCGAACGGGUGAGGAAUACAUGGGUAACCUACCCUCGAGUGGGGAAUAACUAGCCGAAAGGUUAGCUAAUACCGCGUACGCUCCUUGGACUUCGGUCCAGGGAGGAAAGCGAUACCGUGGGUAUCGCGCUCUUGGAUGGGCUCAUGUCCUAUCAGCUUGUUGGGAGGUAACGGCUCACCAAGGCUUCGACGGGUAGCUGGUCUGAGAGGACGAUCAGCCACACUGGCACUGCGACACGGGCCAGACUCCUACGGGAGGCAGCAGUAAGGAAUAUUGCGCAAUGGGCGAAAGCCUGACGCAGCGACGCCGCGUGGGGGAUGAAGGUCUUCGGAUUGUAAACCCC